GGCUCCUUGGACAUGGCUGCGGCGGGAACUACGCGGGGACCGGAACCGGCAGGGGAAGGUGGCGACGGCCGGGGGCGCCUGGGAGGCCUAGGACGCGAGCUGGCAGGGAGCGCGACUGAACGAGAUAUUGACUGCACGCCUCCUGGGUACCAGGCUCUGUGCGUGGCUUUGCAGAAACCGCAGUGAACAAAGUAACAGUCCUGCCCUGCCAGCAGGAGGUAAAAGCAGAGGGGCAUGUGUGGGGAGGAGGGAAGACAAUGAACAGAUAAAUACAUCAUACGUGUGAUCCAUAGUGUAAGGCGUACGCGGUAUACCAAUCGUGAUAUUUCUUUAUACACAUAGAAACGUGUCACAAUGCUAAGAUGCCACUGGGGAAAAAAACCCAAAAUGUCUGUCUUAGGGAGAGAGCUGGAAAAGAACAGGGUGGACACUUGGCGACCCACCCCAUAGGAAUGCCACAGUGUGCCAACUUUGAAGUCUCUCCUGGGAGGACGAUGCCCAACCCAAGGGACUGAAUCCUAAAUUGACUUCUAAAAGUUUCAUCAUAGGCUUCCAUGGACAUUUUUUUUAAUUGAGCAUUUUAUAAUAAAAUGAGGAUUUGUUUGCUGUCAUUGGAAUGA